rnacentral:lncRNA from 1 species
UUUUAUUUUUUAUUUUUGUUUUUUGUUUCUCUUUUGUCUACUUUAUUUUUUAUUCUUCUUUUAUUCUAUUUUUUGUCCUGGUUCUCAUCUCCACAUGUAGAGGAAUCAUAGUCUCCAUCAUCCUUUCCUCACUCGGAUAAUGCUCUAACAAUGAUGAUCAUCAACCUUUUAUUUACUUACAACUCGAUAUGAAAAACUACUAUACAAGAUGACUCUAUAUGAAUUCCUCUAGCAGCGUACUAGGAUGUGCAAUGAUCUAGCAUAAUAUACAGAUAAUGAUGAAUGGUGGCUUUGCCAUAAAUACUAUGUCAACU